rnacentral:rRNA from 1 species
CACGUAGGGGACGAGCGUUGUCCGGAUUCAUUGGGCGUAAAGCGCGCGUAGGCGGAUCGCUAAGUCAGGGGUGAAAUCCCAGGGCUCAACCCUGGAACUGCCUUUGAUACUGACGAUCUGGAGAUCGGGAGAGGUUGGUGGAAUUCCGAGUGUAGAGGUGAAAUUCGUAGAUAUUCGGAGGAACACCAGAAGCGAAGGCGGCCAACUGGCCCGAUACUGACGCUGAGGCGCGAAAGCGUGGGGAGCGAACAGG